rnacentral:misc_RNA from 1 species
GAAUUCUUGGCCAUAGCAGGUUGGAGACAGAGGAGUAACUGUGUAUGAAGGUAAUGCAUAAUAGGGUAUGGCAAUUGCAUAAGGCUCAACCUUGUAACAAUACUGAUUCCAAGUGCUGACAUUACCCAAAUCCUGAAACAUGCUUGGAAAGUUGGUGUUACUGGGUUGUGGGUGCGGAGGCAGAUGGUUUUCCGUCUUGACAAUUUCAGGGUUGGAAGAAGAAUUUACAUUGCUAUUUGCU